CUUCUUCUUCUUCUUCUUCUUCUUCUUCUUCUUCUUCUUCUUCUUCUUCUUCUUCCUCUUAUUUCUAUUUCUAUUUUUCUUUAUCAUCUUCUUCUACUUAUUCUUCUUUUAUUCUUUUUUCUCUUCUUCUCCUUCUUAUUUUUUCUUCUUCUCUUCUUCUCUUGGGCCUUAUUAUGUCAUUUAGGAGAGAACUUAGCUAAGUACAGGUCAUUUUUAUUAAAUAGGCCAUUUUGGAGCUAACUAAUCUAAUUAUGUCAUUUUGUAGGAUAAUUAGCUAAGUUGUGAGCUAACCAAGGUUCUUAUGAUGUUUUUACCCUAACUAAGCUAACUAUGUCAUUUUGGAGGAUAAUUAGCUAAGUAUGUCUUUGUUG
rnacentral:lncRNA from 1 species